ACAAUGGAAACGAGCAAGUGCAUCGCAGUCCAGGAACUUGGUAUAUAUAUAUAUAUAUAUAUAUAUGGGUGCGAUAGUCAACUACAUAUGUAACUAACUAACUAGUUAUGAUGAGCAAGAAGUUGUUACAUAACGCACGGACACCGGCCGGUGAAUGAAUGUACAGGUACAAUGAGAGAGAGGCAGGUGGUAUUGCUCUCCUGUAUGUACAUGUCGAUCCAUGUAGCAUGCUGCUGAUCUCUGCCUGGUGCUGAUUUACAUAGUAUCAAUUGACUCGUCCUAGGUAUUGUAUUGGAAUUGAACGGCACCUGUAUACAAUCCAUACUACGUAUACGUAGGUAGCUAUCGUAUACGGUACAUAUCCCCGAUGCAGACUCCAGUCCGACUCAAACGUCGCAAGCGUCCGUCGAAGCCGGGGGACCUGUCUAUUUCACUCUUCCGGGUUGAUUACUCCGUCGUGGAAUUUUCAUGCAUGUCAAGUAAAAGUAUCUGUACCGUUUAUUGUCGAUCCAUUAGUUACCAGUGCGUACCUACAGAGGUAGGAGCAAGAGGGAUGAAUGCAUCCGUGUUAAAAAAAAAAAAAAUCAAUAUCUUUGGUGGAGAUGGAAAUCGUGUUGCCAUCUGUCAGUAUACUAUUCAGUACCGGUAACCCUACUACGCCAGCAAGAUGACAAGACAGUGGAAUCCGAUUGAUGGACAAACUCGCCGGCCACUGUCGAAGUCACCACACCACAACUCCAUAGACAGAUUACAAACAUUUUACAGUCUGGUUCUGGAGUACGCAUUGAGCCCGUCGUAAGAAAUUAAAAUACAGUCCGAUGCAUGACGCCAGCAGGGAUUACACAUUCAUAGCUACAUUUUGGCUGAUGCGAUGCAAUGAAGCAGCGCGUGUGUGUGUCUGCCGACCGUCUUUUUCCUUGUCGCUGUCAGACUCACUCCAAAGAAGACUGCUCGUUCGCAUGAAAUUUCGUUAUUGUCUUACCUACCCAGGUAGGGUAGUGUCAAGCAUGUCGAGCUUGGACUGCAUACCUACUACAUACAUACAUACACAUACAGACAUGACAGAAAAAAUAAAAAAUAAAAAAAAAAAAAAAAAAAAAAAAAAAAAACGCACGGAGUGAGUGUAUACCCCAUAUUUCAACGUCGAGUUUACAUGUCUUGGUCGAUUGAUUGUAGUAGGGACGUUGUCCUUGAGAAUGGACGCUUGACGGCGAAAUUGCCACGAUGAAAAAUCCAUGAGCAUUGAUCAGCGUGCAAAUAUUUCGUUCUUGUCGUGAUGUCGGUCAAGCAACGUUGUACAUAGUUUUGCGGCGAAUGAUUGGCCGACACAACGAGGGAGCCAAGUUCCAGGCCUGUCACAUUCCGGUGUUGGGAUCGAGUCACAUUCUACACGUAGUAGAUAUUCUUCAAAGUAACCUUACGGCACCCCAGUCAAUAACCGCCCAACCAACUUGACUCUCAAUUGACGUGUGUUAACUGGCUUAUCAACAUAACAAUCCUACCCGGCCAUGCACAAAUCAGCAUGCCAUUACCAUCUGAGCAUCAAGGGCGACAAUCAGAGUCCGAUCGAGAAAUCCUGACAUACGUUAGUUAGGAAAUAAAGUAAACUAAGCCUGUUUUUGGAGAAAGCUCUGAGAAAACAGUCAAAACACAUCCCAAAAUGAAAGAAGGAGGGAGGAGGGGCAAAAUGAUCUGCAGACUAAAGAGGUUUAAUGUAGAGGGCUAAGGCUGUUUGCCAUGUGUUGGUCACAUCGCAGAGCGAGCCGCGACUGACUUUGAGUAUGAGUGUGAUCAAGGACAACGCAAUUCUCAGCCACUAGGUACGCAACUUCCUUGCAUGGAUAGUUACUACGAUCCUUUGACUCGACACGCGACCAGCAAGGCACAUGGAUGUUCAACAAAGCCGGUCCUGUACUUAACUUAGUACGUACUGCAUACUCUCUCUCUCUGCCAGUAACUAUGUAGUACACACGGAGUCAGUCGUAGGAAUGCAGAAUGCAAUGUUGUGAUGUGAUGGAUGCCAGGUGGCUCUGAGCCUUGAUCAACCACAUGCAUCUCCAGCGCGCACGAAGGAAUGUCAAUUAUCCAUAUUUCCUUGCGAACUCGCCCCUCUGAUUGGCCGGACACGAAACCACUGAAUAAUUCGACUUGCCAGUUGCCACCACGUACAUACGUAGUUACUACUACGUACUAUGAUGAUUACAGACGUGCUCGCCAGAUCUUCCGUCUGUCCACCAGAACGGCUCUAAACCACAAUAGAAAACGCAGUGCUUGGCGGGGGACUCAUGAUAGGUUCCUUGCGUGCCGACCAGCACACUAGCACCGUCUAGCAGCGGGCCAGACAGGAACUAAGUUAACUAAGUCAACUAAGCAAACUAAACUCCCUGGCCUGCCGCCUAAGAUUCUUCUGAAAUGCCACGUGAAAUACUCUGUGUGCCGCGAGUGCUCACUAGUUAGCAGUAUCCCAGCAAGGUGACAUGGCACAG
rnacentral:lncRNA from 1 species